CGGGGUGCACCAGGCGCGAAACCUCUGCAAUGCGCGAAAGCGUGACAGGGUCAUCCCGAGUGCCAUCCGCUGAGGAAGGCUUUUGUCCGGUCUAACCAGCCGGGUGAAUAAGGGGAGGGCAAGUCUGGUGUCAGCCGCCGCGGUAAUACCAGCUCCUCGAGUGGUUGGGACGAUUAUUGGGUCUAAAGCGUCCGUAGCCGGCUGGAAAAGUUCUCCGUAAAAUCCAACGAUCCAAUCGUUGGCCCGCGGGGAAUACUUUCCGGCUUGGGGGCGGGGGAGGUCGGCGGUAGUCCCGGGGUAGGGGCGAAAUCUUAUAAUCCCGGGAGGACCACCAGUGGCGAAGGCGGCCGACUAAAACGCGCCCGACGGUGAGGGACGAAAGCUGGGGGAGCGAACGGGAUUAGAUACCCCGGUAGUCCCAGCUGUAAACGAUGCAGGCUAGGUGUUAGGACGGGUACGGCCCGUUCUAGUGCCGCAGGGAAGCCAUUAAGCCUGCCACCUGGGGAGUACGGCCGCAAGGCUGAACUCUAAAGGAAUUGGCGGGGGAGCAC
rnacentral:rRNA from 1 species